AGUAGAAAUCCGACUUUUCUUCUUGGGAUGGAAUAGAACACAAUCUCUCUUAAUAAUUCAUUCAGAUUUAUGGUUUUCGGUAGGGAUGUUAAAGAUGGGUAAAAGUCCAGUGGGAACCCGAAACCCGCUUAAAAUUUAAAGCCUAAAGAUCAAUGUAUUGUUAAAAAUAAAGUAGGCUCAAAACGAGCGGAUCUUAUUUACGUAGAGUUGUAUGUGGGCUUUACCCUGUCGGGUUAUGGAUAUCCAUGGACUUUUUUCCUUCUAAACUUAAUGUACUAAAACGACAUCAUUUUUUCUCUCCUAAAAUCCCUAAAUCCCCAAAUUUGGUUUCUCUACGUGUUCUUCUUCUCUACCAAUUUUAAUUCCUAAAUUUGAUUCAUCUCUAUCACUCUCUCUCUUCAAUUUGAUUUGUGAUAAACCCUAGUCUCUAGGCUCCGAAGCUCACUCUCGCCUCUCUAGGAUAAAAAAACAGAGAAGAAACUCAGAAACAGAGC
rnacentral:sRNA from 1 species